rnacentral:rRNA from 1 species
GCACAAGCGGUGGAUGAUGUGGUUUAAUUCGAUGCAACGCGAAAACCUUACCACCUUGACAUGGCAGGAAUCCUAAGAGAUUGGAGUGCUCGAAAGAGAACCUGCACACAGGUGCUGCAUGGCUGUCGUCAGCUCGUGUCGUGAGAUGUUGGGUUAAGUCCCGCAACGAGCGCAACCCUUGCCAUUAGUUGCUACGAAAGGGCACUCUAAUGGGACUGCCGGUGACAAACCGGAGGAAGGUGGGGAUGACGUCAAGUCCUCAUGGCCCUUAUAGGUGGGGCUACACACGUCAUACAAUGGCCGGUACAGAGGGUAGCCAACCCGCGAGGGGGAGCCAAUCCCACAAAGCCGGUCGUAGUCCGGAUCGCAGUCUGCAACUCGACUGCGUGAAGUCGGAAUCGCUAGUAAUCGCGGAUCAGCAUGUCGCGGUGAAUACGUUCCCGGGUCUU